rnacentral:rRNA from 1 species
UACGAAGGGGGCUAGCGUUGCUCGGAAUCACUGGGCGUAAAGGGUGCGUAGGCGGGUCUUUAAGUCAGGGGUGAAAUCCUGGAGCUCAACUCCAGAACUGCCCUUUGAUACUGAAGAUCUUGAGUUCGGGAGAGGUGAGUGGAACUGCGAGUGUAGAGGUGAAAUUCGUAGAUAUUCGCAAGAACACCAGUGGCGAAGGCGGCUCACUGGCCCGAUACUGACGCUGAGGCACGAAAGCGUGGGGAGCAAACAGG